GAUCCUGGCUCAGGAUGAACGCUAGCUACAGGCUUAACACAUGCAAGUCGAGGGGAAACGAUAUUGGAAGCUUGCUUCCGAUAGGCGUCGACUGGCGCACGGGUGAGUAACGCGUAUCCAACCUGCCCACCACUUGGGGGAUAACCUUGCGAAAGUAAGACUAAUACCCAAUGAUAUCUCUAGAAGACAUCUGAAAGAGAUUAAAGAUUCAUCGGUGAUGGAUGGGGAUGCGU
rnacentral:rRNA from 1 species